AUACGGAGGAUGCGAGCGUUAUCCGGAUUUAUUGGGUUUAAAGGGUGCGCAGGCGGGCGAUUAAGUCAGCGGUGAAAGGCUCGGGCUCAACCGGAGCAGUGCCGUUGAUACUGGUUGUCUUGAAUGCGGUCAAGGCCGGCGGAAUGUGGCGUGUAGCGGUGAAAUGCAUAGAUAUGCCACAGAACACCGAUAGCGAAGGCAGGUGGCCGGGCCUGCAUUGACGCUGAGGCACGAAAGCGUGGGGAACGAACAGGAUUAGAUACCCUGGUAGUCCACGCUGUAAACGAUGGACACUCGUUGUCGGCGACAGACAGUCGGCGGCCAAGCGAAAGUGAUAAGUGUCCCACCUGGGGAGUACGGUCGCAAGGCUGAAACUCAAAUGAAUUGACGGGG
rnacentral:rRNA from 1 species